UGGCGAGCUCGGAGCUGCGAUCUGGGUGCUUCCUAGACUGUGCAGCUGGAUGGCAAAGGGGCAGGGGGUUGGGCUGGGGGCGACCGCUGGGGGGCCCUUUCCUCGUCUCCAACCAGCGCUGUAAAGAAAGCUGAUGGCGAAGUUCGGUUUUCCAGGCUUCCCCUGGGCCCCCGGAGUUCCUGAGGCCCAUACGAGGGAGGCCGGGGGAUCCUCUGGCCGCCUAGGCAAGGCUACUCGAAAGCUGCCCACAUGCCUUGCAGCGCCCUCCGGACUCUGGAGAAAACGUCCCUACUCUCCCCAGAGUUAGGUGGGAUGCUGCAUGGACUUCACUGCAUCUCUCUCUGGUUGACCUCCAAUUCCAAAAUCUGCCUGCUUCAGCCUCCAGGAACUGAGAUAACACCAGCCUGCUCAUCCCUUACUCUAUGGAGGUGCCCUGAAGCAAUUCCUACAUGAUUCUUACACAUGCCACAUUUAGAAUCAUCUGAGGAGUGUUAGCCCAACCUUUGCCCUAAGUCUCUCCUGAAGCUAAGUAAAUCUGGAGAAUGGAGCGUAAAAGGGUGAAGUUCGGUGAAGAAGCUGCUGACCUGAGUGACGAGAUGCUUGGCUGCACGGGUGUCCUGUGGCUGAGGAGGGAAGCUUAGAGCCUGUGUCAUCAACUCUGUGAAAACAUGGGACACUGCCAGACAUAGAUGCACAUUGUCUGAGAAGGCUGGCCUCUAACUCAACGAUUGUGUAGACAACAGAAUAUCCAUAUCUAGAUUAUAUGUGUAAAGAACUUAUAAAAAUCAGUUAUGUUUUG